rnacentral:misc_RNA from 1 species
CGCAGCCGCGGUAAUUCCAGCUCCAAUAGCGUAUAUUAAAGUUGUUGCAGUUAAAAAGCUCGUAGUUGAAUUUCGGGAUCAAUUAAUUGGUCGUGCCUAUGGUACGUACUGAUUUUAUUGGUUUCUCCCUUCUGACGAACCAUGGUGUCAUUAAUUUGGUGUCGUGGAGAAUCAGGACUGUUACUUUGAAAAAUUAGAGUGUUUAAAGCAGGCUAACGCUUGAAUACAUUAGCAUGGAAUAAUGAAAUAGGACGUUUGAUCCUAUUUUGUUGGUUUCUAGGAUCGACGUAAUGAUUAAUAGGGAUAGUUGGGGGCAUUAGUAUUCAAUUGUCAGAGGUGAAAUUCUUGGAUUUAUUGAAGACUAACUACUGCGAAAGCAUUUGCCAAGGAUGUUUUCAUUAAUCAAGAACGAAAGUUAGGGGAUCGAAGACGAUCAGAUACCGUCGUAGUCUUAACCAUAAACUAUGCCGACUAGGGAUCGGAUGAUGUUAAUUUUUAAUGUACUCAUUCGGCGCCUUAC